GACGUAGGCAGCAAGCGUUGUUCGGAAUUACUGGGCGUAAAGAGUGUGUAGGCGGUGCUCUAAGUUCGGUGUGAAAUCUCCCGGCUUAACUGGGAGGGUGCGCCGGAAACUGGAGUGCUCGAGCGUGGGAGAGGAAAGCGGAAUUCCUGGUGUAGCGGUGAAAUGCGUAGAUAUCAGGAGGAACACCUGCGGUGUAGACGGCUUUCUGGACCAUUGCUGACGCUGAGACACGAAAGCGUGGGUAGCAAACAGG
rnacentral:rRNA from 1 species